AGAGUUUGAUUAUGGCUCAGGAUGAACGCUAGCGGCGUGCCUAAUACAUGCAAGUCGAACGAGAGUGCUUGCACUCGAGGUGGCGAACGGGUGAGUAACACGUGGGUAACCCACCUAUAAGACGAGGAUAACUUCUGGAAACGGAUGCUAAUACUGGAUAAGAUAUAUUACCACAUGGUGAUAUAUUUAAAGGUUCUUAACGGGAUCACUUAUAGAGGGGCUUGCGGAGCAUUAGCUAGUUGGUGAGAUAACAGCCCACCAAGGCGAAGAUGCUUAGCCGGACUGAGAGGCUGAACGGCCACAUUGGGACUGAGACACGGCCCAGACUCCUACGGGAGGCAGCAGGUAGGGAAUUUUCGGCAAGUGGGGGAAACCCUGACCGAGCAACGCCGCGUAGAACGAUGAAGUUAUUUCGGUAUAGUAAAGUUUCUUUUAUUGAAGGAAAAAAGUUAGUAAUAGGAAAUGAUUAUUAAUUGAUGGUACUCGAUGAAUAAGCCCCGGCUAACUAUGUGCCAGCCGCAGC
rnacentral:rRNA from 1 species